rnacentral:rRNA from 1 species
AUUGAACGCUGGCGGCAGGCCUAACACAUGCAAGUCGAACGAGUGGCGGACGGGUGAGUAAUGUCUGGGAAACUGCCUGAUGGAGGGGGAUAACUACUGGAAACGGUAGCUAAUACCGCAUACCAUCGGAUGUGCCCAGAUGGGAUUAGCUAGUAGGUGGGGUAAAGCCUUACCUAGGCGACGAUCCCUAGCUGAUCUGAGACGAUGACCAGCCAUACUGGAACUUAGACCCGGUCCUGCCUCCUACGGGAGGCAGCAUUUGAGAAUAUUGCCCAAUGGGCGCAAGCCUGAUGCAUCCAUGCCGCGUGUAUGAAGAAGGCCUUCGGGUUGUAAAGUACUUUCAGCGGGGAGGCGUUACCCGCUGAAGAAGCACCGGCUAACUCCGUGCCAGCAGCCGCGGUAAUUC